rnacentral:rRNA from 1 species
UGAGGAAUCUUGCACAAUGGGCGAAAGCCUGAUGCAGCGACGCCGCGUGGGGGAUGAAGGCCCUAGGGUCGUAAACCCCUUUCAGCAGGGACGAAAAUGACGGUACCUGCAGAAGAAGCCCCGGCCAACUACGUGCCAGCAGCCGCGGUAAGACGUAGGGGGCGAGCGUUGUCCGGAUUUAUUGGGCGUAAAGGGCUCGUAGGCGGUUACGUAAGUCGGAUGUGAAAACUCCAGGCUCAACUUGGAGACGCCAUCCGAUACUGCGUUGACUUGAGUUCGGUAGAGGAGUGUGGAAUUCCUAGUGUAGCGGUGAAAUGCGCAGAUAUUAGGAGGAACACCUAUUGCGAAGGCAGCACUCUGGGCCGCAACUGACGCUGAGGAGCGAAAGCAUGGGUAGCAAACAGGAUUAGAUACCCCCGUAGUCC